UUAAACACUGUUUAAAUAAUCAAAGAGACAUUUACAAAGGGCAGGCUACAACAGACAUGCUUACCAGGAGCUGUUUUGUCUCUUUUGCAUAAGCCACACCAGAAACGCUCUGUGCGGAUAGCAAAGUCUGCACUGUGGGAGUGUCCGGACCCUCCACGCCAGGAUCUGCAGCACAACCUCGCACUGGUCCCCAGGGGCACAGCAAACUUUGGUACAGAGUCAGGAUGGCUGUGAAAGGAUCAGCUGUGGAGAUAAAAUGCAGAUACACAUACCCAUCCAGGAUACAAUAUCACUACUAAAGUUCAAAAGAAAUUGUGGUUUACUAAAAUAACUAAUUGUGAACCUGUGGAUCUGAAAUCAGACUCAGACUACACAGGACGAGUGGAGUAUGGUUCUAAUCAGAAGGACUGCACUCUGAGAAUCACAGAGCUGAGAGAGCGACUCAGCUGUGUACAAGUUCAGAUUCAUAACAAACCAUUAGGAGGGAGCUAUACUGGUUCACCUGGAGUCACUUUGACUGUCACAGAUCUCCAGGUGCAGGUGAUCACAUCACAGCACCAA